AGUAGCCGCGGUAAAACGUAGGUGGCAAGCGUUGUCCGGAAUUAUUGGGCGUAAAGGGCUCGCAGGCGGUUUCUUAAGUCUGAUGUGAAAGCCCCCGGCUCAACCGGGGAGGGUCAUUGGAAACUGGGAAACUUGAGUGCAGAAGAGGAGAGUGGAAUUCCACGUGUAGCGGUGAAAUGCGUAGAGAUGUGGAGGAACACCAGUGGCGAAGGCGGCUCACUGGACCGACAUUGACGCUGAGGCGCGAAAGCGUGGGGAGCAAACAGGAUUAGAUACCCCGGUAGUCCCUGUCUCUUAUACA
rnacentral:rRNA from 1 species